GACGAACGCUGGCGGCGUGCCUAAUACAUGCAAGUCGAGCGAGACUCUUCGGAGUCUAGCGGCGGACGGGUGAGUAACACGUGGGCAACCUGCCUGUAAGACUGGGAUAACACCGGGAAACCGGUGCUAAUACCGGAUAAUCCUUUUCCUCUCAUGAGGAAAAGCUGAAAGACGGUUUCGGCUGUCACUUACAGAUGGGCCCGCGGCGCAUUAGCUAGUUGGUGAGGUAACGGCUCACCAAGGCGACGAUGCGUAGCCGGCCUGAGAGGGUGAUCGGCCACACUGGGACUGAGACACGGCCCAGACUCCUACGGGAGGCAGCAGUAGGGAAUCUUCCACAAUGGACGAAAGUCUGAUGGAGCAACGCCGCGUGAGCGAUGAAGGCCUUCGGGUCGUAAAGCUCUGUUGUUAGGGAAGAACAAGUACCGGAGUAACCGCCGGUACCUUGACGGUACCUAACCAGAAAGCCACGGCUAACUACGUGCCAGCCGCCGCGGUAACAC
rnacentral:rRNA from 1 species